GGAUCAUUUUCCGAACAGAACACCCUUUUCUCUGUAUCUCUUUCCUCUAUGUAACUUUCUGCCAUCAACUGAGCCAGGGUUUCCGAGUUGCCGUGGCUCGACUCACCGAGCCAGGUGGAUCUUCACUCCCGGAGAACUGGCUGGUAAAUACAAGGCUGCUAAUCAAGGAGCAAUGCAAACAUUGGAGAAGUAUGGAGCAACACUAAUGGAAGUAGACGUUGAUGGAACAUUGUCAUACCCUAAACCCCAAGUUAAUGCCGAUUCCCAUCCAAAACCCAUUAGCGUUGAAGAGGAGCAAUUUAUGCGAGUAUUUUAUGAGAAUAAACUUCAAGAAGUUUGUACCAACUUUCACUUUCAGCAUACAGUUCAGGCAUGUGGUCUCCCCUGUUGACAGAAGAAAAAAUAGUAAUACUAAUUUAGGAAGCAUGAAACUAGAAGAAUUUAUCAAUUUUAGCAUUAUCCAUGUCUAAUUGGUUUCAUCAGCAGGCAACGGCUCUCAU